CAUCAAACAUGUAGACAACUCGUUUAGCCACGCUAAUUGGUGGAGUAAUGUAAUUAGCUAAAAUGUCAAACUGUUGAUUUCACGGGUACAAAAUGAAGGAAAAUGAACUAUAAGAACCGUUACUUUUGGGGUGUUAAACCGGUUCAGAACUUCAUGCUGGUUGGACCACUGGGACAGGACUAAAUAUAUACGGAUUCUGCUCAGAGAAGAACGAUAGGAAACCGUUAACAACCCAAAUAUUAUGAAACGUCCAUUAGAUCCAAUAACGUUCACCUAUCAAAAUAGCAAUUCACUUUUAUCUUUACCAAAUUCGACACUCGUUGCCCCUCAUAACAAACAAAAAAAGAAUACUCACUUGACACGUUGUGUGCUUAACGCUAUAAAUCUAGGCGGAGUCGAACCUCCCGCUUCGCCUCUUUCCUCUCCGCUUGUGUUUAGCGGGUAAAUGUAACCUGGCUACCAUCGACCCUCAAAAUGACGAAAUUACAAUUUCUAAAUGUAUUUUUGACAGAAAAGUUGAUGUUAGCUGCCCAAGAUAUAUAUAAGCAAGUGGAAGAGACCAUAUUAGAAUACCAGGAGGAAAUAUUCCAGGGAAAGCGAGAGAAUGACAAACUGAGACGCAAGCUUCACGAUAAUGGGAUUCCAUGGCCAGACCAAGAGCCCUUUUCUGCUGUAGAAUCUGAGGAGGAGGAGGGAGCCAUUGGGCAUAAGCAGGAACCAGACCUUGGACAGACUUUGGAGAAACAGGAGGGAAGGGCCAGAAGGGAGGAAAAGCUGUUUAGGGGACUGGCCCCGCUGUCUAGAUUCGUUCCUUCUGAUGGAAAUGAUGACUAUGAUCAGAACCCACCUCAACCCACCUCACAUCAGUUCCAAAUACAAACUCACACUGGGAAGACUAUAGAGGGAGGCUUUCUAUCAAGCUCAACAACCUCCAAUCCAAUCAAAACAGAGACUGAUAGAUUGGGCGUCUGUCCAUUGGAUGAACCAUCAAGUGACCCAAAUACUUUCUCUUCAGGGAACCUCGACCUCUCGGCAGCACAGAGUGAGAACAGUGACUAUGAGAACACUGAUGACUUCUGGUGCUGUGCGGUGUGGAAGGAAAGCAAGGAGCAAGUGGAGGGUGUGGUUCCCAGUACCUGGGUGGUGGGCAGGAAGGUCAUUUCGCGUCCAGCCAAUGGCAGGAAAGUCCUGAAAGAAAGACACAAGCCAGGAGCCAAUUGGACAGCAUAUGACCUUAUUAAGGUCAAACUAUUCUCAGAAUCUCUGGAGGAGUGUGAAGGGUACAGUAGGUCCAGUGAUGAGCUGACUGACAACGGAGACAACACGUGAGCCUAACACGCAGAGGAAGACGGGCGAGGGACACAUUACUGGCAGAUACUUCAAGGAGGACCCCAUGGAGAUGAAACACACAGAAAUGUCGAACUCUGGAACCCUGGAGGAAAGUUCUGCAGUUCUAGAAGCAGAACCUUAUCUUGAUCCAUCUGAGAUCAGAGGGCAAGUUAGGUUACCCUAUAUCUACCAGUGUUAUUUCCCAUUGGUUUUCCACACACGUGGUCUAUGUUAGUUUGAGGCGCUGUACACUACAUGACCAAAAGUAUGUGGAACAUCUCAUUCCAAAAUCAUGGGCAUUAAUAUGGAGUGGCAACGCUCGUGCAAGCGGUUGCUCCCGACACCACUUGGGUACACUACAGCAUCCACCGAGAGGCUUUUGCUGCCAAGGGAAUGCCUGGCAACUUGAAAGAUGUUUUGUACGCUACAGUGAAAAUGGUUAACUUUGUUAAAGCAAGGCCCCUGAACUCUCGUGUAUUUUCUGCACUAUGCAAUGAUAUGGGCAGCGACCAUGUAACACUCGUUAUCAAGGGGCAAAAUAUUGACACUUUUUUAAUUUAUUUUUAAAUUGAGAGACCAGCUUAAAGUUUUGACUGACCAUAAUCGUCACUUGUCUGACCGCUUGCAUGAUGACUAGUUUCUCACACGACUGGCCUGUCUAGGUUAUGUUUUUUCCCGCCUGAAUGAUCUGAAUCUAGGGUUACAGGGACUCUCCGCAACUAUAUUCAAUGUGCGGGACAAAAUUGAGGCUAUGAUUAAGAAGUUGGAGCGCUUCUCUGUCUGCAUUAACAAGGACAACACAGGUUUUUCCAUCAUUGUAUGAAUUUAUUUGUGUGUAAAUUAACUCCAGCUUAUGGACAAUGUCAAAUGUGAUAUAGCGAAUAACCUGAGUGAGUUGGGUGCACAAUUACGCAGGUACUUUACCAAAACGGAUGACAAAAAACUAGAUUCGUUAUCCCUUUCAUGCCCUGCCUCCAGUCCACAUGAUAUCUGAAUAAGAGAGCCUCGUCGAAAUUGCAACAAGCAGUUCUGUGAAAAUGUAUCUUAAUCAGAAGCCACUGCCAGAUUUCUGGAUAGGGCUGCACUCAGAGUUUCUUGCCUUGGCAAAUCGCAUUGUUAAGACACUGAUGCCCUUUGCAACCACGUACCUAUGUGAGAGUGGAUUCUCAGCUCUCACUAGCAUGAAAACUAAAUACAGUCACAGACUGUGUGGAAAAUGAUUUUAAGACUGAGCCUCUCACCAAUACAACCCAACAUUGCAGAGUUAUGUGCAUCCUUUCAAGCACACCCUUCACAUUAACCCGUGGUGAGUUAUUCACAAUUUUCGAUGAACAAAUAAGAUUUUGUAUGUAAGAUGGUUAAAUAAAGAGCAAAAUGAUUGAUUAUUAUUAUGUUAUUAUUUGUGCCCGGGCCCUGUAUGAGCUGUUUGUCACUUCCCAUGAGCCGGGUUGUGACUAACUCACACUCAUUCUUAUGUUUAAUAAAUGUAUCGUAUAGUGUGUGUGUGGCAGGCUUACAAUGAUGGCAAAAAACAACAUUUGAGAGUGCGCUGACCCCGGUGCUAGAGGGGGUAUGCAGCUGGAGGUUGAAUGUUUGAAGGGGUUAAAUUGACAAUAUCAAAACAAGAUAAUAUAAAUCAUAAGACAGUUCAUCCCAAAGGUGUUCGAUGGAGUUGAGGUCAGGGCUUUGUGCAGGCCAGUCAAGUUCUUCCAUGGCAAUCUCAGCAAACCAUUUCUGUAUGGACCUAGCUUUGUGCCCAACAAACAGUUAUUGUGCUGACGUAGCUUCCAGAGGCAGUUUGCAACUCGAUGGUGAGUGUUGCAACCGAGGACAGACUAUUUUUAUGCGCUUCAGCACUCGGCAGUCCAGUUCUGUGAGCUUGUGUGGCCUACCACUUCACAGCUGCCUAGAUGUUUCCACUUCACAAUAACAGCACUUACAGUUGACCGUGGAAACUCUAGAAGGGCAGAAAUUUGACCAACUGACUUGUUGGAAAGGUGGCAUUGUAUGACUAUCGCACAUUGAAAGUCACUGAGCUCUUCAGUAAGGUCAUUCUGCAGUCAGUGUUUGUCUAUGGAGAUUGCAAGGCUGUGUGCUCGAUUUUAUACACUUGUCAGCAACGGGUGUGGCUGAAAUAGCUGAAUCCACUCAUUUGAAGGGGUCUCCAGAUACUUUUGUUUAUACAGUUGAAGUCAGAAGUUGACAUACACCUCAGCCAAAUACAUUUCAACUCAGUUUUUCACAAUUCCUGAAAUGUAAUCCUUGUAAAAAAUCACUGUUUUAUGUCAGUUAGGAUCACCACAUUAUUUUAAGAAUGUGAAAUGUCAGAAUAACAAUAGAGAAAAUUAUUUAUUUCAGCUUUUAUUUCUUUCAUCACAUUCCCAGUGGGUCAGAAGUUUACAUACACUCAAUUAGUAUUUGGUAGCAUUGCCUUUAAAUUGUUUAACUUGGGUCAACCGUUUCGGGUAGCCUUCCACAAGCUUCCCACAAUAAGUUGGUUGAAUUUUGGCCCAUUCCUCCUAACAGUGCUGGUGUAACUGAGUCAGGUUUGUAGGCCUCCUUGCUCGCACACACUUUUUCAGUGCUGCUCACAAAUUUUCUGUGGGAUUGAGGUCAGGGCUUUGUGAUGGCCACUCCAAUACCUUGACUUUGUUGUCCUUAAGCCAUUUUGCCACAACUUUGGAAGUAUGCUUGGGGUCAUUGUCCAUUUGGAAGGCCCAUUAGCGACCAAGCUUUAACUUCCUGACUGAUGUCUUGAGAUGUUGCUUCAAUAUAUCCACAUAAUUUUCCAACCUCAUGAUGCCAUCUAUUUUGUGUAGUGCACCAGUCCCUCCUGCAGCAAAGCACCCCCACAACAUGAUGCUGCCACCCCUGUGCUUCACGGUUGGGAUGGUGUUCUUCGGCUUGCAAGUCUCCCCCUUUUUCCUCCAAUCAUAACGAUGGUCAUUAUGGCCAAACAGUUCUAUUUCUGUUUCAUCAGACCAGAGGACAUUUUUCUCCAAAAAGUACGAUCUUUGUCCCCAUGUGCAGUUGCAAACCGUAGUCUGGCUUUUUUAUGGCGGUUUUGGAUCAGUGGCUUCUUCCUUGCUGAGUGGCCUUUCAGGUUAUGUCGAUAUAGGACUUGUUUUACUGUGGAUAUAGAUACUUUUGUACCUGUUAACUCCUGCAUCUUCACAAGGUCCUUUGCUGUUGUUCUGGGAGUGAUUUGCCCUUUUCACACCAAAGUACGUUCAUCUCUAGGAGACAGAACGCAUCUCCUUCCUGAGCGGUAUGACGGCGGCGUGGUCCAAUGGUGUUUAUACUUGAGUACUAUUGUUUGUACAGAUGAACCUGGUACCUUCAGGCGUUUGGAAAUUGCUCCCAAGGAUGAACCAGACUUGUGGAGGUCUACAAUUUUUUUCUGAGGUCUUGGCUGAUUUCUUUUGAUUUUCCCAUGAUGUCAAGCAAAGAAGCACUGAGUUUGAUGCUUGUCCUUGAAAUACAUCCACAGGUCCACCUCCAAUUGACUCAGAUGAUGUCAAUUAGCCUAUCAGAAACUUCUAAAGCCAUGACACAAUUUUCUGUAAUUUUCCAAGCUGUUUUUUAAAGGCACAGUCAACUUAGUGUAUGUAAACUUCUGACCCACUGGAAUUGUGAUACAGUGAAUUAUAAGUGAAAUAAUCUGUAAACAAUUGUUGGAAAAAUUACUUGUCAUGCAUAAAGUAGAUGUCCUAACCGACUUGCCAAAACUAUAGUUUGUUAGCAGAAAUUUGUGCAGUGGUUGAAAAUCGAGUUUUAAUGACUCCAACCUAAGUGUAUGUAAACUUCCAACUUCAACUGUAUGUGUUCUGAUCAGCCUUGUUUGUGUUAUUCAAGCCUUGACGACUCAUUCAACAAGGAGAGCUGCCUCAUAGAGGGUGGACCACACUCUUCUACCUCAUGUAAGACGGGCACAGUCUAAUGGGACUGUGUGACUGUUCCCCAUAUGAGGGGGAUGCAGUUUUUCCUCCCUCACAGUGCAGAGAGGGAGCAUACCUAAGGUAUGUGCUGCUGCUGAAGAAUGUAACCUCGGCACUACCAAUGCCAAAGCAGAUAGAUAAGAAGUGCUGUGGAAUGAAAUGUCCUCCAUAUGAAAAAUACUUUGUGUGUUUUUAGUGGAUGGGAUAUGAUCGGUAAACUUUUGAAUCCAACCCAAAAGUUUUCCUCUUCCAAAUGACGAGUAUAACGUUUAUUUCUUCAAUCUGGUCAGUCACACAGAAAUGCUUAGGGCCUGUGUCACAGAACCACAUUAAGCCUAUUCCAUGUUUAAAAGCCAUUUCCAUUGAGCAUGCUUUGUAACACUGGGAUUCUGCUGAGGGUUCUGGACCUGGAACAGACUUCCAGUUUGAUGUGUGUAGAAUCCUGGAAGAUGUGGCCAACCUAGAGAGAGUUCUAGAGACUCCGGAGGUAGCUGCCCAGAUGGUAUGUGGAUCUGCAGAGGAGCAUUGAAUGACAAACUGGCAUCAAUUAAUUUACCUCCACUUGAAGUUGCUGAUGACCAAUGAACUGAUGAGCAACUUCAACAUGAAAGGAAGGAAAUGGACCAAGAAGAGUUUUCUCACACACUCCCUGAGCAAAAUCUUUAUUGGUAAGAGUACAGAGUAUAUGAGCAGAGUGGAGCGGUCGGAAGUAACUUAUCGCUCACUGAGCCAGCGCUCCACAUCCUUUCUGACCACACCGCAAAAAACGUUCCUCAAACACAGGAAGAGAGAAUUUUCUUUUUAAACCUGCUCAAAAUGUUCUCCAUUCUUUCAAAUCACCAUUUCACCAUUCUUUCAAAUCACCAUUUCACCAACACCCAUCUAUUUUUGUGACUAUCUGGACCUACCAUUUGCUUUUGAAAUAUUGAAACCAAACUGUAUGAUUUCAAUCAAAUAUAUUUUAAUAAACAUAACUGUAAGAAGCGCUUAUUAUUUCAAAUAGGCUACAAGUUGUAUUAAACAACAUCUGAACACUCUAUAAAUAGGUCAGAAGCCAGACAGGAGGUCUAGGAAGGAAUGGAAAUGAAUUAUUUAGGCCAGUGGUUCCCAGACUUUUUUAUGGUCCCGUACCCCUUCAAACAUUCAACCUCCAGCUGCAUACCUCUAGCACCAGGGUCAGUGCACUCUCAAAUGUUGUUUUGCCACCAUUGUAAGCCUGCCACACACUAUACGAUACAUUUAUUAAACAUAAGAAUGAGAAUGAGUUUGUCACAACCCUGCUCGUGGGAAGUGACAAAGGGCUCUUAUAGGACCAGGGCACAAAUAAUAAUAGUCAAUAAUGUUGCUCUUUAUUUAGCCGCCUUACAUAUAAAACCUUAUUUG